rnacentral:rRNA from 1 species
GCACUGGCCCAACUGAUUGAUGGUGCUUGCACCUGAUUGACGAUGGAUCACCAGUGAGUGGCGGACGGGUGAGUAACACGUAGGUAACCUGCCCCGGAGCGGGGGAUAACAUUUGGAAACAGAUGCUAAUACCGCAUAACAACAAAAGCCACAUGGCUUUUGUUUGAAAGAUGGCUUUGGCUAUCACUCUGGGAUGGACCUGCGGUGCAUUAGCUAGUUGGUAAGGUAACGGCUUACCAAGGCGAUGAUGCAUAGCCGAGUUGAGAGACUGAUCGGCCACAAUGGAACUGAGACACGGUCCAUACUCCUACGGGAGGCAGCAGUAGGGAAUCUUCCACAAUGGGCGCAAGCCUGAUGGAGCAACACCGCGUGAGUGAAGAAGGGUUUCGGCUCGUAAAGCUCUGUUGUUGGAGAAGAACGUGCGUGAGAGUAACUGUUCACGCAGUGACGGUAUCCAACCAGAAAGUCACGGCUAACUACGUGCCAGCAGCCGCGGUAAUACGUAGGUGGCAAGCGUUAUCCGGAUUUAUUGGGCGUAAAGCGAGCGCAGGCGGUUGCUUAGGUCUGAUGUGAAAGCCUUCGGCUUAACCGAAGAAGUGCAUCGGAAACCGGGCGACUUGAGUGCAGAAGAGGACAGUGGAACUCCAUGUGUAGCGGUGGAAUGCGUAGAUAUAUGGAAGAACACCAGUGGCGAAGGCGGCUGUCUGGUCUGCAACUGACGCUGAGGCUCGAAAGCAUGGGUAGCGAACAGGAUUAGAUACCCUGGUAGUCCAUGCCGUAAACGAUGAGUGCUAGGUGUUGGAGGGUUUCCGCCCUUCAGUGCCGGAGCUAACGCAUUAAGCACUCCGCCUGGGGAGUACGACCGCAAGGUUGAAACUCAAAGGAAUUGACGGGGGCCCGCACAAGCGGUGGAGCAUGUGGUUUAAUUCGAAGCUACGCGAAGAACCUUACCAGGUCUUGACAUCUUGCGCUAACCUUAGAGAUAAGGCGUUCCCUUCGGGGACGCAAUGACAGGUGGUGCAUGGUCGUCGUCAGCUCGUGUCGUGAGAUGUUGGGUUAAGUCCCGCAACGAGCGCAACCCUUGUUACUAGUUGCCAGCAUUAAGUUGGGCACUCUAGUGAGACUGCCGGUGACAAACCGGAGGAAGGUGGGGACGACGUCAGAUCAUCAUGCCCCUUAUGACCUGGGCUACACACGUGCUACAAUGGACGGUACAACGAGUCGCAAGCUCGCGAGAGUAAGCUAAUCUCUUAAAGCCGUUCUCAGUUCGGACUGUAGGCUGCAACUCGCCUACACGAAGUCGGAAUCGCUAGUAAUCGCGGAUCAGCAUGCCGCGGUGAAUACGUUCCCGGGCCUUGUACACACCGCCCGUCACACCAUGGGAGUUUGUA